rnacentral:rRNA from 1 species
AUUGAACGCUGACGGCAGGCCUAACACAUGCAAGUCGAGCGGAUGAAGGGAGCUUGCUCCUGGAUUCAGCGGCGGACGGGUGAGUAAUGCCUAGGAAUCUGCCUGGUAGUGGGGGAUAACGUCCGGAAACGGGCGCUAAUACCGCAUACGUCCUGAGGGAGAAAGUGGGGGAUCUUCGGACCUCACGCUAUCAGAUGAGCCUAGGUCGGAUUAGCUAGUUGGUGGGGUAAAGGCCUACCAAGGCGACGAUCCGUAACUGGUCUGAGAGGAUGAUCAGUCACACUGGAACUGAGACACGGUCCAGACUCCUACGGGAGGCAGCAGUGGAGAAUAUUGGACAAUGGGCGAAAGCCUGAUCCAGCCAUGCCGCGUGUGUGAAGAAGGUCUUCGGAUUGUAAAGCACUUUAAGUUGGGAGGAAGGGCAGUAAGUUAAUACCUUGCUGUUUUGACGUUACCAACAGAAUAAGCACCGGCUAACUUCGUG